GGAGGGUGCAAGCGUUACUCGGAAUCACUGGGCGUAAAGGGUGCGUAGGCUGACUUUUAAGUCAGGCGUGAAAUUCCAAUGGCUUAACCAUUGAACUGCGCUUGAAACUGGGAGUCUAGAGUUCAGAAGGGGCAGAUGGAAUUAGUGGUGUAGGGGUAAAAUCCGUAGAUAUCACUAGGAAUAUCAAAAGCGAAGGCGAUCUGCUGGGAUGAUACUGACGCUGAGGCACGAAAGCGUGGGGAGCAAACAGGAUUAGAUACCCUGGUAGUCCACGCCCUAAACGAUGAAUGCUAGUCGUCGGGGAGCUCGUCUCUUCGGUGAUGCACUUAACAGAUUAAGCAUUCCGCC
rnacentral:rRNA from 1 species